CCACGGCCGCCAUCCGCUCCCUCGGGUCCUGCCCGGCUUCCCUCGCGAUGGAAACAAACCCUCGCCUCCCGAGGCGCUUUCGGUCACAGCGACAGAAACCCUCGGACGGGAUCCUGCUCCCAGGGUGACCCACGGCCACGAGUGGAGACGCCAGCAGGUGGCGUCUUGGGCCCGGGUGCACACAGAAGGCCCUGGAGACCGGGGUCUGGAUUAGAGUCGGUGGCCACAGCGUGUGGCCUCACAGUUCUGUGCCCGCCGCAGGUUCUCAGCGGAUGCGGACCAAUGGUCUCAAGUUACCAUGCGGCCUCUGCAGAGAGAGCGAAGGGGUGGAGGCAGAUCCAAGGCCUUGCGGCUGGCGCUCACCAAGUGUCCCUGAAGGCCAGAAGAGGGCGCUGGAUCCCCUGGAGCUGGGUUUACAACGGAUUAGGUGAGGCCUGACACAGGGGCCAGGAUGAGAACUCAGGUGCAGCGGAAUUCAGGGCAGCAAGUUGUCCACUGAGCAUCUCUCCGGCCUCCCCGCCCUUCCUAAGAGAUCAACGGCAAACAACACAGGCAUGCCUGGAGAGAUAAACCGAAACAAAACCUACCAUACAGAAAACGCAGGGGACACCGGCGAGCAAAGCUGUCGUAAACUCUGGGUGGAACCAACUUCUCACAGCAACAUAGAAAGAACUGAAAGUCCCUCCCCCCUCCAGAGCCCACCUCCGCUCGGCACCCACACAUUUCUUCCUUCGCUUGUUUCCCGGAUAGAUACCUUAUUUUUCUUCUUCUUCUUCUUCUUCUUCUUCUUCUUCUUCUUCUUCUUCUUCUUCUUCUUCUUCUUCUUCUUCUUCUUCUUCUUCUUCUUCUUCUUCUUCUUCUUCUUCUUCUUCUUCACAAAAACUUACCUUUCAGACAGGCGAGGUGAGCAAGCCUGAGAUGCCCGGCGAGGCUCAGGCAGGAGCCUGGAGAGCUACGGGCCAGCUGGGGC